rnacentral:rRNA from 1 species
GACGAACGCUGGCGGCGUGCUUAACACAUGCAAGUCGAACGGUAAGGCCCUGCUUUUGUGGGGUGGUCGGGUGGCGAACGGGUGAGUAACACGACAGUAACCUGCCCUUGACUUUGGGAUAACUUCAGGACACUGGGGCUAAUACCGGAUAGGAGCUCCUGCUGCAUGGUGGGGGUUGGAAAGUUUCGGCGGUUGGGGAUGGAGUGGCGGGUUAUCAGCUUGUUGGUGGGGUAGUGGCUUACCAAGGCUUCGACGGGUGGCCGGCCUGAGAGGGUGACCGGCAACAUUGGGACUGAGAUGCGGCCCAGACUCCUACGGGAGGCAGCAGUGGGGAAUAUUGCACAAUGGGGGGAAGCCUGAUGCAGCAACGCCGCGUGCGGGAUGACGGCCUUCGGGUUGUAAAGCGCUUUCGCCUGUGACGAAGCGUGAUUGACGGUAAUGGGUAAAGAAGCACCGGCUAACUACGUG